rnacentral:rRNA from 1 species
GACGAACGCUGGCGGCGCGCUUAACACAUGCAAGUCGAGCGAGAACCGGGUCUUCGGACCCGGGGAAAGCGGCGAACGGGUAAGUAACACGUGAGUAAUCCACCCUCGGCACCGGGAUAGCCCGGGGAAACCCGGAUUAAUACCGGAUGGCCCAACAGCCCUUCGGGGCGGUUGGAAAAGGUAGCUUCGGCCUCCGGCCGAGGACGAGCUCGCGGCGGAUUAGCUUGUUGGUGGGGUAAUGGCCUACCAAGGCGACGAUCCGUAGCUGGUCUGAGAGGACGAUCAGCCACACUGGGACUGAGACACGGCCCAGACUCCUACGGGAGGCAGCAGUGGGGAAUCUUGCGCAAUGGGCGAAAGCCUGACGCAGCGACGCCGCGUGAGGGAAGAAGGCUUUCGGGUUGUAAACCUCUUUCAGGAGGGACGAAGCUACUCGGGUUAAUAGCCCAGAGGGUGACGGUACCUCCAGAAGAAGCCCCGGCUAACUACGUGCCAGCCGCCGCCGUAAAAC